CAGUCGCCGCGGUAAUACGAAGGGUGCAAGCGUUACUCGGAAUUACUGGGCGUAAAGCGUGCGUAGGUGGUGGUUUAAGUCCGUUGUGAAAGCCCUGGGCUCAACCUGGGAAUUGCAGUGGAUACUGGGUCACUAGAGUGUGGUAGAGGAUAGUGGAAUUUCCGGUGUAGCAGUGAAAUGCGUAGAGAUCGGAAGGAACAUCUGUGGCGAAGGCGACUAUCUGGGCCAACACUGACACUGAGGCACGAAAGCGUGGGGAGCAAACAGGAUUAGAUACCCUAGUAGUCCCUGUCCCUUAUAC
rnacentral:rRNA from 1 species